GUUAAAAUCACCAUCAUCUCUUUUAAAAUGUGUGUUCAUUACAAACUUGUUUCUCUCUCUUUGCAGGGUGACGUUGAGAGGAAAUUAUCACAGAUGAUUCUGGACGAAAAGUUUCACGGAAUCCUCGACCAGGGUGAAGGCGUGUUGAUCAUAUUUGAAGAGCCUCCGGUGGACAAAACAUACGGAGCAGCCUUGGAAACAAUUCAGAACAUGAGCAAAGUCGUGGAUUCACUUUACAACAAAGCCAAGAAGCUGACAUAGAACAGCUCAUCCGCGGCAGUGCGAUGGAGGAACUGUGUGUGUUUGACCAGCGUGUGUAACAUUUUAAGAAGGGGACAAGGGAGAGAAAUGAAAUAGUCCCACAAACUGCAACAAACAGGAUUCCCCCAUCAAACUCCUCCUUUCCCCUCCAGCUCCUCCUCCUCUCUCUCUCUCUCUCUCUCUCUCUCUCUCUCUCUCUCUCUCUCUCUCUCUCUCUCUCUCUCUUGCUCUCUCUCUCUCUCCCCCCUUCUCAACGGACAAUUAAAUCACUUAUCUUAUUGUUUUCUUCUUUUUUUGUUUUGUUUGUUGUUUUUUGUUUUAUUUUUCUCCUCUCCUCUUAAUUUUGAUAUCUCUUCAGGAUUCUGUAUAACACUCAGCGGCCAAAUCAGGCCAUCAGGGAAUAUUGUACAACCACAAUAAAUAAAUAAAUAAAUAAAAAAAAGAUUAAAAGGAUUUAGAAUACAAUAUAUGUUUAUAUCUGCUUAAUAAAAAAGGUUUUUUUGGGGCUUUACCGAGCCUUUAAAAGCUGUCUCCACUGCAACCUCAAAGGUUCAACAUUGACCUCUGCAGCCUCGGACUUACUGCUACCAAACCGAGUACGCAGAAAACGAGGCAUCCUCCUUUCUUCUUCUUCUUUCUUUCUUCUAUCUUCUUCUUCUCCAUAUCUUUCAGAAAGCACACUGUUCAGUUUAGGAGAGCUCCCUCUAGCUCUUCUUCUUCUACUUCUUUUUUUUAAUUUUCUUCACCAUAUCAAUGCCAACAGUUAAGCCCCUCCCCCUCCCCCCCCCUCUUCCUACACUGUAUUUCAGAUCUGUAUUAAACUCACUUUAUUUGUUUUUUUGUUUAUAAAGCAAAAAAAAACAACAAAAAAAACAACAAUCAGAUGGUUGCCACAUGUUUGUUUAUUUGUUCCCCCCCUCCUCCCAAAAAACACCCUCCAUCCACCUCUCCUCCUCCUCUCCACCCUUUCCUCCUCUUCCUCUUUUUUUUUUUGCUUAUGUACGUUUAUAUAGAAACAGACAGGAUUGCCAUUUCACCACCAGUGCCACUUUUUGGGCGCUUGUUUUUUUGCCUCAGUGCAAUAUAUUAAAAAAAAAAAAUAAGAAAAGAAAACCUGGAAAAAAGGCAGAGACGGGAGAUGACGGGAGAUGUAGUCAUUUUGCCUCUUGAGCGUCUGUGAACUAUCCCUGAGUGAGCAAAAUUUUCCCAUUGUUUGUUAGUUCCUAGCACUAGUGUUGGUAUGCUAGUAACCAAACAAUUUGUAUGGUUUUGAUUUGGUUUUUUCAAUUUAUUUUGUUUUUUUUGUUUUGUUUUGUUUUGUUUUACUCUUAUAAAAGACAUUUUCAAAAAUAAAUAUUUUGUAUUUUAAGGAUUUUUUUGUCUUGUCUCUUGCAAAAAAAAACAAACAAAAAAAACAACAAAACUGAUUUGACUUUGGCAACUGUUUCAUUAACCAUUCAGUAUUUUGGUUUUUACAGUAAAUAUAAUGGGUUUGUUUUUUUUCACACUGCAAAAGAGUGUUUUUAAAAUGCACUUAAAUAUCAAAUAUGUGGCCGAGACAAUGUGUACGCUACUUUUAGCAGAAAGUGACAGUCAGACAUGAACAAUAACAUUAAAAUUUGUCUACAGGUAUUCAGAUUUUAACACUUUAAAUACACAUAAUUCACCCAAGAGUCUUUUCCUUCCUGCUGCUGCUAUAUUUGUGACUUAUUUGCAAAAAAAAAAAAAAGAAGAAGAAAAAAAAAAAGAAGCAACCUCACAUCAGAAGGGCAUUAAAUCAGUUUAACUGACAGCUUUGGAUUGUCUUUUAUUUUGAUUUAUUUUAUUUUUUACUUACACAAGCAGUGUAAUGUUUACUGGAUGUGUCUACCUUUGGGGUCAAAGACAUGAUUUCUCUUUUUAAACUGUGAAACACUUCUUCUGGUUUAAGUUUCAUCACAAGAGAAACAAGAAAAGCUUGUAACUUA